UCAAAUUUCUACUAUAAUUUAUGUUUUACAAUUUGAUUUCGUUUUUUCCUACAAAUUUCUGGAGUAGUGCACUGCAACCCAAGCUUAACUGGACAAAUUCAUCGCUGAAGCAAAUAGGGGAUUGGGUUCGUAGGACAGAGAUCGGCGAGUUUCUGAUUUGAUGACUGGAGAAGGUGCUGUAGCUCAUGUACAAAGGAGAAGGCAAGAUUUUGUGACUGGGUUCACGAGAUGAUGGAGAUCGGCAUCGCAUGCUUGCAGACGACACACGCAUUAGAGACGGGACUAGCAAUCCUCCAGUUUCUGGGGGUCUCACUAAGAACAGCUAGGGAAGCUGUUAGUCGGUGCGAGUCCGAUUUAGUGUCAUUAAACUUAAUCCGGGUGCAGACCAAACAAGGGAUUAUAAUCUAGUCCAGUCCAGUCCUUCCUAAUCCGGUGAAACAAACGGGCCCUAAAUGUGCUUGAAACGACACUAAACAAAGCAUUAUUUACUGCUUAGAGUUAUGCCCUAACAUUGUUCGUUUGUUUUUUUUUUUUUUUUUUUUGCCUUUAA
rnacentral:sRNA from 1 species